rnacentral:rRNA from 1 species
UUGCAUUCACCGAAAGAAGCUUAGUGGCGAACGGGUGAGUAACACGUAGGCAACCUGCCCAAAAGAGGGGGAUAACACUUGGAAACAGGUGCUAAUACCGCAUAACCAUGAACACCGCAUGAUGGUCAUGGUAAAAGACGGCUUUUGCUGUCACUUUUGGAUGGGCCUGCGGCGUAUUAACUUGUUGGUGGGGUAACGGCCUACCAAGGUGAUGAUACGUAGCCGAACUGAGAGGUUGAUCGGCCACAUUGGGACUGAGACACGGCCCAAACUCCUACGGGAGGCAGCAGUAGGGAAUCUUCCACAAUGGACGAAAGUCUGAUGGAGCAACGCCGCGUGAAUGAAGAAGGCCUUCGGGUCGUAAAAUUCUGUUGUCAGAGAAGAACGUGCGUGAGAGUAACUGUUCACGUAUUGACGGUAUCUGACCAGAAAGCCACGGCUAACUACGUGCCAGCAGCCGCGGUAAUACGUAGGUGGCGAGCGUUGUCCGGAUUUAUUGGGCGUAAAGGGAACGCAGGCGGUCUUUUAAGUCUGAUGUGAAAGCCUUCGGCUUAACCGAAGUAGUGCAUUGGAAACUGGAAGACUUGAGUGCAGAAGAGGAGAGUGGAACUCCAUGUGUAGCGGUGAAAUGCGUAGAUAUAUGGAAGAACACCAGUGGCGAAAGCGGCUCUCUGGUCUGUAACUGACGCUGAGGUUCGAAAGCGUGGGUAGCAAACAGGAUUAGAUACCCUGGUAGUCCACGCCGUAAACGAUGAGUGCUAAGUGUUGGAGGGUUUCCGCCCUUCAGUGCUGCAGCUAACGCAUUAAGCACUCCGCCUGGGGAGUACGGUCGCAAGACUGAAACUCAAAUGAAUUGACGG